AACCGACACAGGUGGUCAGGUAGAGAAUACCAAGGCGCUUGAGAGAACUCGGGUGAAGGAACUAGGCAAAAUGGUGCCGUAACUUCGGGAGAAGGCACGCUGACAUGUAGGUGAAGUGAUUUACUCACGGAGCUGAAGUCAGUCGAAGAUACCAGCUGGCUGCAACUGUUUAUUAAAAACACAGCACUGUGCAAACACGAAAGUGGUCGUAUACGGUGUGACGCCUGCCCGGU
rnacentral:rRNA from 1 species